GACACUUUGGCCGAGUGGUUAAGGCGGUGUCCUGCGUAAGUCACUCACUCAAUCUCGCACGUCUGCAACUUCAUAGCUAACCUUCCAUAGUAAGGCAUUACAUUCGUGUGCGUAGGUUCGAAUCCUGCAGGUGUCG
rnacentral:tRNA from 1 species